rnacentral:rRNA from 1 species
GACGAACGCUGGCGGCGUGCUUAACACAUGCAAGUCGAACGAAGUGGCGAACGGGUGAGUAAUACGUGGGUAACCUGCCCUUAAGAGGGGGACAACAGUUGGAAACGACUGCUAAUACCGCAUACUGAAGGGGGGGAGUGCGUGUGAUUAGGUAGUUGGAGGGGUAACGGCCCACCAAGGCGAUGAUCAGUGGCCGGGCCUGGAGGAUGAACGGCCAACAUGGGACCGAGACCAGGGCCAGACUACUACGGGGGGCAGCAGUUGGGAAUCUUCCGCAAUGGACGAAAGGCUGACGGAGCCACGGCGCGUGAUGUAUGACGGCCUUCGGGUUGUAAAGCUCGUUUAAUCGGGACGCGGUACCGGAAUAGAAAGCCACGGCUAACUACGUGCCAGCAGCCGCGGUAAUAC